GACGAACGCUGGCGGCGUGCUUAACACAUGCAAGUCGAACGGAAAGGCCCUGCUUUUGUGGGGUGCUCGAGUGGCGAACGGGUGAGUAACACGUGAGUAACCUGCCCUUGACUUUGGGAUAACUUCAGGAAACUGGGGCUAAUACCGGAUAGGAGCUCCUGCUGCAUGGUGGGGGUUGGAAAGUUUCGGCGGUUGGGGAUGGACUCGCGGCUUAUCAGCUUGUUGGUGGGGUAGUGGCUUACCAAGGCUUUGACGGGUAGCCGGCCUGAGAGGGUGACCGGCCACAUUGGGACUGAGAGACGGGCCAGAAUCCUACGGGAGGCAGCAGGGGGGAAUAUUGCACAAAGGGCGGAAGCCUGAAGCAGCAACGCCGCGUGCGGGAUGACGGCCUUCGGGUUGUAAACCGCUUUCGCCUGUGACGAAGCGUGAGUGACGGUAAUGGGUAAAGAAGCACCGGCUAACUACGUG
rnacentral:rRNA from 1 species